rnacentral:rRNA from 1 species
GYUUACACAUGMAAGUCGAGCGGUCAUUAUCUUGCAGCAAUGUAGGGUGAUGAUAGCGGCGCACGGGUGAGUAACGCGUGGGUAAUCUACCCCGAAGACUUGGGAUAAUUCCGCGAAAGCGGGACUAAUMCSGAUGUGAUUUUUCAGAUGUAAAUCUGRAAAWUWAAGCUUGGGACCGUAAGGCCUGGCACUUUUGGGAUGAGCCCGCGUCCUAUCAGCUAGUUGGUGAGGUAAAAGCUUACCAAGGCUAUGACGGGUAGCUGGUCUAAGAGGACGACCAGCCACACUGGGACUUGAGACACGGCCCAGACACCUACGGGUGGCAGCAGUCGAGAAUUUUUCACAAUGGGCGUAAGCUUGAUGGAGCGACGCCGCGUGGGGGAUGAAGGGCUUCGGCCUGUAAACCCCUGUCAGUCGUGACCAAGGUCUCCUCCUUAAUAAGGAAGAGGAUUGAUGGUAACGACAGAGGAAGGGACGGCUAACUCUGUGCCAGCAGCCGCGGUAAYAMGGGCGAAUUNGUUUAACCUCAGGCNNGNCCUUNGUNG